AUUGAACGCUGGCGGCAGGCCUAACACAUGCAAGUCGAGCGGAGCGGCGGACGGGUGAGUAAUGCCUAGGAAUCUGCCUGGUAGUGGGGGAUAACGUCCGGACACUGGCGCUAAUACCGCAUACUAUCAGAUGAGCCUAGGUCGGAUUAGCUAGUUGGUGGGGUAAAGGCCUACCAGGGCGACGAUCCGUAACUGGUCUGAGAGGAUGAUCAGUCACACUGGGACUGAGACACGGCCCAGACUCCUACGGGAGGCAGCAGUGGAGAAUAUUGGACAAUGGGCGAAAGCCUGAUCCAGCCAUGCCGCGUGUGUGAAGAAGGUCUUCGGAUUGUAAAGCACUUUAGGCGGGGAGGCGGUACCCGAAGAAGAAGCACCGGCUAACUCCGUGCCAGCAGCCGCGGUAAUAC
rnacentral:rRNA from 1 species